UGGAGAAGGCAUGCAAGUCGAACGCCCCGAUUUAUCGGGGAGUGGCGAACGAGGUAGUAACACGUAGGAACGUACCCUUAAGUCAGGGAUAACCCGGCGAAAGUCGGACUAAUACUUGAUGGUCUCUUCGGAGUAAAGAUUUAUCGCUUAAGGAUCGGCCUGCGCAUUAUCAGCUAGUUGGUGAGGUAAUGGCUCACCAAGGCUAUGACGAUUAGGGGGGGUGAGAGCCCGGUCCCCACCGAUGGCACUGAGACACGGGCCAUACAUCUACGGAUGGCAGCAGUCGAGAGUCUUCCACAAUGGACGAAAGUCUGAUGGAGCGACGCCGCGUGAAUGAAGAAGCCCUUCGGGGUGUAAAAUUC
rnacentral:rRNA from 1 species